rnacentral:rRNA from 1 species
GAUGAACGCUGGCGGCGUGCCUAAUACAUGCAAGUCGAGCGAACAGACGAGGAGCUUGCUCCUCUGACGUUAGCGGCGGACGGGUGAGUAACACGUGGAUAAUCUACCUAUAAGACUGGGAUAACUUCGGGAAACCGGAGCUAAUACCGGAUAAUAUAUUGAACCGCAUGGUUCAAUAGUGAAAGACGGUUUUGCUGUCACUUAUAGAUGGAUCCGCGCCGCAUUAGCUAGUUGGUAAGGUAACGGCUUACCAAGGCAACGAUGCGUAGCCGACCUGAGAGGGUGAUCAGCCACACUGGAACUGAGACACGGUCCAGACUCCUACGGGAGGCAGCAGUAGGGAAUCUUCCGCAAUGGGCGAAAGCUUGACGGAGCAACGCCGCGUGAGUGAUGAAGGUCUUCGGAUCGUAAAACUCUGUUAUUAGGGAAGAACAAAUGUGUAAGUAACUAUGCACGUCUUGACGGUACCUAAUCAGAAAGCCACGGCUAACUACGUG